GCCCAGGUAACAUAAUUGGAUAAUGUACCGGACUCCUAAUCCGGAGAUUGCAGGUUCAAAUCCUGUCCUGGGCG
rnacentral:tRNA from 1 species